GAUGAAGAACGUAGCGAAAUGCGAUAAGUAGUGUGAAUUGCAGAAUUCAGUGAAUCAUCGAAUCUUUGAACGCACAUUGCGCCCUUUGGUAUUCCAAAGGGCAUGCCUGUUCGAGCGUCAUUUGUACCCUCAAGCCUUGCUUGGUGUUGGGCGUCUUGUCUCUAGCUUUGCUGGAGACUCGCCUUAAAGUAAUUGGCAGCCGGCCUACUGGUUUCGGAGCGCAGCACAAGUCGCACUCUCUAUCAGCAAAGGUCUAGCAUCCAUUAAGCCUUUUUUUUCAACUUUUGACCUCGGAUCAGGUAGGGAUACCCGCUGAACUUAAGCAUAUCAAUAAGCGGAGGA
rnacentral:misc_RNA from 1 species